CAUGGACGCGGAGGACAUUACCGAGUUUACAACUCCCAAACCCAAUGUGAACGUUACCAAACUGUUGCCUCGGCGGGAUCUCUGCCCCGGGUGCGUCGCAGCCCCGGACCAAGGCGCCCGCCGGAGGACCAACCAAAACUCUUUUUGUAUACCCCCUCGCGGGUUUUUUUAUAAUCUGAGCCUUCUCGGCGCCUCUCGUAGGCGUUUCGAAAAUGAAUCAAAACUUUCAACAACGGAUCUCUUGGUUCUGGCAUCGAUGAAGAACGCAGCGAAAUGCGAUAAGUAAUGUGAAUUGCAGAAUUCAGUGAAUCAUCGAAUCUUUGAACGCACAUUGCGCCCGCCAGUAUUCUGGCGGGCAUGCCUGUCCGAGCGUCAUUUCAACCCUCGAACCCCUCCGGGGGGUCGGCGUUGGGGAUCGGCCCUCCCUUAGCGGGUGGCCGUCUCCGAAAUACAGUGGCGGUCUCGCCGCAGCCUCUCCUGCGCAGUAGUUUGCACACUCGCAUCGGGAGCGCGGCGCGUCCACAGCCGUUAAACACCCAACUUCUGAAAUGUUGACCUCGGAUCAGGUAGGAAUACCCGCUGAACUUAAGCAUAUCAAAAGCGGAGGAA
rnacentral:rRNA from 1 species